ensembl:snoRNA U3 Small nucleolar RNA U3
AAGACUAUACUUUCAGGGAUCAUUUCUAUAGUUCCUGACUGGAGAAAUGAGUCUCUAAAGUGAUUGGUCGCGCCAACCACGAGGACGAGACACGGUGUCCUUUCCUGAGCGUGAAGCGGAUGGAGGAACAGGGGAGCUUUCCUGUAGUCUUUCAUCAUUGAUGAUCGUUUUUCAUUUUCUUAGAAAAGUGAAAAUGGAAAGGACACGUUCUGAGUGGU